GGGGCUUUGAAACUCUGUAUAAUGACUUGAGCAUCUGAAGCUUCCAUUUUGCAUCCUGCACAAUGAGUGAAACUUUAUGUCCCAGGCCCAUGGCAAAGGUUAAAAAAAAAGAUGUGGACCCUGUUGAAGGCCUGAUGCAUCCCAUCCCUUGGCUUUUGGGGACAUUUAAUGCCUAUGCAUAGGGUCAACAUUUUCUGUUCUUAUUAUGAAAUGCUUGAAGUGUACAGGAAGCAGCCUUUGAGCAACUUAUGUGAAGAAUGUGAAGCCUUUAGAACCUCUGAAGGACUCACUGCAGAGCUUGUGACUCGUGCUUUGUAAGACCCCAUCAUGAAGGACAGGCGCACACUUGGGAAUGUCACAGAGGAGGUCUGAUGUGCAUCGGGUUAGAGAUGGGACGACAUCUGAAAGGAUAGGUAGGUAAGGGCAGAAACAGCAAAGCGGUUUCUCCUUUGGACAAAUUCCCUACCACUGAUGGCUACACCAUAGCUUUAACCGCCUCCACUG
rnacentral:lncRNA from 1 species